rnacentral:rRNA from 1 species
GAUGAACGCCGGCGGCGUGCUUAACACAUGCAAGUCGAACGGUGAAGCAGGAGCUUGCUCCUGUGGAUCAGUGGCGAACGGGUGAGUAACACGUGAGCAAUCUGCCCUGGACUCUGGGAUAAGCGUUGGAAACGACGUCUAAUACCGGAUACGAGGCGUGGGGGCAUCCCCAACGCCUGGAAAGAAUUUCGGUCCAGGAUGAGCUCGCGGCCUAUCAGGUAGUUGGUGAGGUAACGGCUCACCAAGCCGACGACGGGUAGCCGGCCUGAGAGGGUGACCGGCCACACUGGGACUGAGACACGGCCCAGACUCCUACGGGAGGCAGCAGUGGGGAAUAUUGCACAAUGGGCGCAAGCCUGAUGCAGCAACGCCGCGUGAGGGGCGACGGCCUUCGGGUUGUAAACCUCUUUUAGCAGGGAAGAAGCGAAAGUGACGGUACCUGCAGAAAAAGCACCGGCUAACUACGUGCCAGCCGCCGCGGUAAGAC